rnacentral:rRNA from 1 species
CAGGCCUAACACAUGCAAGUCGAGCGAGAAAGGGGAAACCCCAGGUAAAGCGGCGCACGGGUGAGUAACACGUAGGUAAUUUACCCCUUGGUGGUGGAUAACCUUCCGAAAGGAGGGCUAAUACAGCAUAAGACCACGUCUUCGCAAGGAGAUGAGGUCAAAGCCGGCCUCUUCAUGAAAGCUGGCGCCGAGGGAUGAGCCUGCGGCCCAUCACGGUAGUUGGUAGGGUAAUGGCCUACCAAGCCUAAGACGGGUAGCUGGUCUGAGAGGAUGAUCAGCCACACUGGAACUGAGACACGGUCCAGACUCCUACGGGAGGCAGCAGUGGGGAAUCUUGCGCAAUGGGCGAAAGCCUGACGCAGCGACGCCGCGUGAGUGAUGAAGGCCUUCGGGUUGUAAAGCUCUGUGGGGAGGGACGAAUAAGUGCUGGCUAACAUCCAGCGCGAUGACGGUACCUCUUUAGCAAGCACCGGCUAACUCUGUGCCAGCAGCCGCGGUAA